GCUGUCUGGGCAUCGGCGCUGUCUGGGCAUCGGCGCUGUCUGGGCAUCUGCGCUGCGGCUGGAGGUACGGCUGGUCCUCUGCCUGCUGUCCACUGCCACCUUGGUCUGCUCUUGCCACCCUGGCGCCGCGAACUCUGCGCCGCCUCUCCCUUCACCCUGUCUUGGGACGGCCGGCGCUAAGAAUUCAUGCUAUGACCUUCGAUGCAGCCAGGAGGUGACACCAAACUCGAUCAGAAACCAUGCCACUGGUGAAGAGGUAUAUUGAGCCCUGCCUGGCCCAGUGAGGUUACUAGAGAAUUGGAAGAGACUCAAAUCAGCAUCCUGCACAUGGUUAUCAAACCAUUGUGAAGUCUUAAUGAUAUCUUGCCCAAGAUCAUAGCUAGUUGGUAUAGAAAAUGGAUUUGAAUCCAAGCCCAAUACUGUGUCUUCCACCCAGUGCUUCCUCUAGAUUCCAUCUAAGUCCAAGGAGGCCAUGUGAGACAGAAACAUUUUUAUUCCAUACUGUGAAAGAUUUUUAUAAUAGCCUCUGAGAUUGUGCUCCUCUGAUGAAGGAAAUGUCCAUGGUGUGAUUUUUUUUAUUAUGCAUAAAAUCACCUGGGAUGCUUGUUAAAA